rnacentral:rRNA from 1 species
UACGAAAGGGGGCUAGCGUUGCUCGGAAUGACUGGGCGUAAAGGGGCGCGUAGGGCGGCGAUCACAGUCAGAUGUGAAAUUCCUGGGCUUAACCUGGGGGGCUGCAUUUGAUACGUGGUUGCUUGAGUGGGGAAGAGGGUCUGGAAUUCCCAGUGUAGAGGUGAAAUCGUAGAUAUUGGGAAGAACACCGGUGGCGAAGGCGGCGA